GGUAGCAGUAUUAGUAAAAAUACGAGAUCUGAGGCAAUAGGUGCGAAAAUCACCUAUAGAAAGUUAUCCCAUGUCCCCACCCCCAAUAGUUCAAACUGGCCAUCCAAUCUGAGAUGUGUAUACUGUCAUGUGGGGCAUCUUCAGGUGUUGUUUCAGACAUCUGGUAUGUCAAGAUGGUUGACCUUGACCUAGACAGAUAAGAGGCUACAUCUGCGCAGUAAGUAAGUAAGCAUAGUCAAGAAAACAUCCCAAUUUUUACAUUUUACAACUUAAACCUCCAGCACCCUUCCCCCCACAAAGCCCAAUUAUUCUUCCCUCCCCCCAUUUCUAUGGCAGCCAGAAAGACAAGCAGAAGGAUUGUU